rnacentral:lncRNA from 8 species
CCUGCAGAUACCUGGAAAUCUGUCAAACAUUAUUUUACAUAUCUCACUUGUGAAACACAGACCCUGCAGUCUUCCAUAAUCACAGGACCGGUGUGUCUUCAACAUUUAAUACCUGGCAGGUGCAUUGUCAUCACCUCUCCUCCCAAUAUCAACGUGUCUCAUUUUCGACAUCCUGAUUAUUACCAGACUGCCCGUGUGGCCAGCCCUGUAUCACACAGUCGUUUUCACACCGGAGAUGAAUACCUUUACACAACUCCCAUAACAAGACCUCCCAAGACCACCACGUGGGUAAGUUACACAGUAAGACACACACUCCGACGCCAGAAACACACAGAGCCCAACAGUGAAACGCUCCCAGCCUCAGUCUGUGGUAGGCCACAAAAACACAGGCCUGCCAACCACCCUCCAGCCUCCCUCCACAUCCCUGUAGGCUAUGGUGUUGGUGUGUGUGUGUUUCUGUGUCUGGUGCUGCUGCCAAUCCUGGGUGGUAGUGAGAUCACUGUGGUUCAUUCUAGACCACUCACUCAGGCUUCCAUCAAUGAUCCUCUCUGUAUUGCAUAGGACUGCAUGUUAUAUCCUAAAUGGCACCCUAUAUAGUGUACUACUUUUGACCAGACCCCUAUGGGACUUGGUCAAAAGUAGUGCACUACAUAGGGUAUAAGGUCCCAUUUGACAAGGUGAAGACUAGUAUAAAAUAUAAGGCUGUGCUUGGAUGGUUGCUCUUGGGGUUCUGGCUGGCCUAACUUCAGGAGCUGGAGGCCAGUGAUGUUUUUGGUGGUCCACUGCAAUCACUGUGGGGCUGCUGAUUUGUGUUCCCAUCAACUGGUGUAUAGUGGCAUGGGGUCAAGGGUAAUAUUUGAUUGGACUGAAACCCCAUUUAAAGACAGUCAUGCCACGCCACAAUGCUUUGUUCUGUUCACCAGUCUAUCAUAGAACUCCAGUAGACCAGAGAGAGAGACACAUAUUUACACACAUGCACCCAGUGUGAUAAAACAGUACAGUUGGCCAAUAUCUUGUACUGAACCCAGGUCCACUGUGUCUUAAUGUGUGAGUAUACUACAGUAUAUCUUCCUACUGAAUAUAAAAUACAAUCUCCCCCAGGCGCUGUGAAGUCUGUACAUGGGGAUCCUAAUAAAUCCUAAUAAAUCUAAAAUAAUGAGCAGUAUCAAUCCAGGACUCUGCCAGAGGCGGUAUUUCAACAUCACACAGAGUUCAUUAUUAAGAGACACUUUCAAUGAGAUAGCUAGUAAUGGGUGUAAGGUCAUACUGAUAGCAAGGGGUGUAAGGUCAUACUGGGGCUAUAUUAAUAGACAGUAAACAAGACUUCACAGGUACACCAAAAACACUCAUACCCCUCUAGCCAUAAUUGGUAACAUUUCUUGUAUCAUCAAGAGGAAGCAUUAUAAAGCAUCAUUUUCUAUGAUUACUCUCAUACUAUUGAAAAUCAGAGUUGAUCAAAAGUCUUACGGUAUUGUGAAAGUAGCCUUUUGCAAAUGUAUCCAAAUAUUAAGCUAUAAUCUUAGGCUAUUUGAGAAAAAAGUUGAAUACGUUUAUCAUAGUUGUACGUUGGAGGUGUAUUUUCCAGGGCUUUAGCCUACAGUAAAUCACUUGAUCUAAAGUGGCAUUUGGAGAUUUAUUGUGUGGCGAUAAUUGCUAAUUGCUAAAUGCUGAUAAACAUCAACGCCAGCUCCUGAAAUCUCGGAACCAGAGCAGAGGAAGCAGGCGGUUGGUGAUAGUUCAGGGGAUGCUAAUUGGAUCCAUCACCGCCGUCAAAACCUGUGUAUCAUGACUGAAUUACAUGACUCGCAAACUAAACACAAUACCACCACUUUUACAUUCUGACAGAAGUAAGGAUACAAGCUAGCGACCAGAAUUGAUGCAAGCUAAAACUUGCUAUGAAAACACCUGGUUUUCUAAACAAACUUACCUUUGCCUCGCGUAGAAUAGAAAGAUUCCGAUAUGAUGGUUUGGUCACAAUUAUUUAGAAAAUUUCGUCUAGGCUUUUUCGUUUUUCUACUUUUGUGUUGUGUCGGAUUUCUAACUUCUCCAAGUGAACGGGCUCUACAUAACAUUAGCUACGUUUUCGCCGCGCGGUAUAGGGCUCCCACCUCCGACGUCUUGGAGAAGUACAGUUUGGUCCCCCGCUGCUCCAAGUGGCCCUUUCGUUUCACUUUAUCUACGGAUGGAAAUCUUUAUUGCAUAAUAUGCACCACUUGACAUUUUCCCCUAUAACUUUUUUCAGUCAUUGUUUAUUCAAAAGGUACAUUGUAGUCUGCACUUUUGCAGUGUCAUAAUGUCAUCAUUAAUUUGAGGCAAGACAGGACACCUGAGAGAAAUGUUAUCUCCCCUGUUUCCUUGGAGAUCGCCUAGGUGAGCGUGUGAGGGGACUCAGUGCCUGUCUGUAUGGCCUCAUCUGACACCGAACAAUAUUGUUAUAUUGCUGCAUCAUGUCUGUGUAGCAAAGAAAGGUUGGUUUAUUGAACACCAGUCCUAAUAUAAGUUGGCAUAAAAGCGGAACAAAGUUUUGAGCUUCAUCAUCACGCUGUUGGCUACAUACGGGGUAUUAAUGGAAUCAACCAGUCAUAUUUAGAGGUUUUGAUCUGCGAUCUCUAUAGUGACACUAUGACAAACAAUGAUAACAUAAAAACACAAACAAAAACACACACAUGACUGAAUCCUUAUUACUUUCAAAGACUUUAUAUGAAAUUGUAGUUUUCUUUUUACAAAUAGAAGACCAAUACACUUGAAUUAAUGUACUGUAUUUCCCAAUAAAAUUGUGUUCUUCCCACAAAGGUCUAAUACAAAUCACAAUAACACUGAAAUUGUAGAGAUGUAGAGAAAAAUGUUAACAUUUUAGUCUGUAGUUUGGAUGAGUAACAUCAUGGCAAAUAUGAUUGAUUGGUAAUGCAAUGAAUUACACCAAUAAACACCACAUAGACAAGCAUUCAUCAGUGGCAGGAAAAGCAAAAUGGUGUCUAAGUUUAGGUUAAAAAUGUAUGGAAAUGUAAUCCAUAAAAAUACUUUGAAAAAUCAAUACAACAAUAAACUCAGAAAACCCCUACUGAUAAUAAAAUAACAGCUGUCUGUCCUGACCGUUAGUAAACCACUCUAUGUGCAAACUGACCCUAGAAAGCCCAAAAUACAGUACAUUCCUACAUCCCUCCAGCCCCAAUAAAUAUACUACCAGGAUAAAUACAGAUCUGUCUACAGAUUCAACCAGACCAGCAGAGAGAGAGACAGACAGAGACAGAGGGGAGAGGGGGGCUGUCUAGUUGUUCUCAAUAACACAUUCUUUUUCAAUAAGGUGAUAAUUGAUUUGAAUAUGUCCACUGAUUAAUGUUAAUUUGAUAAGGUCACCAUUAUUUAUAUAUAUAUAUACUAAAAUAAGACUUUAAUUAGAGUAACUACAUACAUGCUAAAGGAUCAUAUGUAGUGGAUUUUCAUUUAUGAAAUAAAUUCAUGUUGAGGGCUUCAAGAAAUGUCAUGAUGAGCCAGAUAUGGCCCUGGGCCGCUACUGGAGUAUGUGUUCACCUGUAUGUAAAGAACAUUUCAAUCGGAUAUUUCAUGAAAAAUCAUACCUCCCUUCAAGUCAACAUACUUUCUCCCAUCAUGCACUUUGUCUGACUUCAACAAAUCUUCAAAUAACUAAUGAAUUUAAAUCGGUAGAAAAGACACUAGGUACUUUUUCAUACCUUCAUUUUAGCAAAAUAUUUUCCCCUUUUAUAUGGCACAAGCGGUGAAUGGUAAACUACACACACACACACACACACACACACACACACACACACACACACACACACACACACAGAGAGAGAGAUACAUCAGAGAAGAUGAAAUAAAGCGUAAAUCCCCAUAACCAGACAUCUGUUAAUAAAAGUCAUAAUCAGAUAAAUCAAUCUUUUAAAACUACCAAAAAAUAUCAACAACUCUGU